GAGAAAAGCGCUUCAGUAGCGAGAGGGGCUGAGAAAGUGGUGACACCGCCGGGGUGCGGAGGGAGUCCCUGAAACUUCUCCCAACAGCCCCAGGGCCAAUCUCCCCUCAGCCCACUCCCCUCUUCGCCAGCUCCCAGGUCCCCACUCCCUGCGCCGGGGGUGGGGUAGGGAGCCAGGCCCGUCUCCCGCUGGGACACACACAGGGACCGGGAGCGGGGACGGGACCCCCGAGGCGGGGGGGGAACGGACCGACAGACAGACGGCCGGGCGCCCGCCCCAGCGGGCAGGCAGGCAGGAGGAGGCGGAGGAGGCGGGGGUACGACGGGGAGGACUGGGUCCGGGGAGUUUCCUCUCAACUAUCGGGGGAGAAACUCCCCGCAGCCGGAGGAAAGACCCAGACGGUGUUUUCCUCCCGGGGGCCGCGCUCCCCCGCCCCGCGUUAGCGGCGGUUGCCGCCGCCGCCGCCGCCGCCACCGGCGCUUCCACCUCUACCAUCUCCUCUUUCUCCACCACCUCGGGCCCCGGUGUCCCCGGCCAGCACUAUGCCCAUCUUACUGUUCCUGAUAGACACGUCUGCCUCUAUGAACCAGCGCAGCCAUCUGGGCACCACCUACCUGGACACGGCCAAAGGCGCGGUAGAGACCUUCAUGAAGCUCCGUGCCCGGGACCCUGCCAGCCGAGGAGACAGGUAUAUGCUGGUCACUUUCGAAGAGCCACCCUAUGCUAUCAAGGCCGGAUGGAAAGAAAACCAUGCAACGUUUAUGAAUGAACUGAAAAACCUUCAAGCUGAAGGACUUACGACUCUUGGCCAAUCCCUAAGGACAGCUUUUGAUUUAUUAAAUUUAAAUAGAUUAGUAACUGGCAUAGACAACUAUGGGCAGGGAAGAAACCCCUUUUUUUUGGAGCCAGCAAUAAUUAUUACAAUUACUGAUGGGAGCAAGUUGACUACUACCAGUGGAGUCCAGGAUGAGUUGCAGCAUGUGAGAUCUAAUUCCCUGACCAGAGAUGGAACCCAGGCCCCCUGCAUUCUUCAUUUACCUCUUAAUUCUCCUUUGCCUGGAAGUGAAUUGACCAAGGAACCUUUUCGUUGGGAUCAGAGACUCUUUGCAUUAGUGUUGCGGUUGCCGGGGACGAUGUCCGUAGAAUCAGAGCAGUUGACAGGUGUGCCUUUAGAUGACUCUGCAAUCACACCAAUGUGUGAGGUGACAGGCGGCCGCUCAUACUCUGUAUGUUCUCCAAGAAUGCUUAAUCAGUGUCUAGAAUCCUUGGUGCAGAAAGUACAAAGUGGGGUAGUAAUAAACUUUGAGAAAGCAGGACCAGAUCCUUCCCCUGUAGAAGAUGGGCAGCCAGAUAUAUCAAGACCUUUUGGAUCGCAGCCUUGGCACAGUUGUCACAAACUCAUUUAUGUCAGACCAAAUCCUAAAACUGGGGUUCCUAUAGGUCACUGGCCUGUUCCAGAAUCUUUCUGGCCAGAUCAAAAUUCUCCAACACUACCACCUCGUACAUCUCAUCCUGUAGUGAAGUUCUCCUGUACAGACUGUGAACCCAUGGUUAUUGACAAAUUGCCUUUUGACAAAUAUGAGUUGGAACCUUCACCGCUGACUCAGUUUAUCCUGGAAAGAAAAUCUCCUCAGACAUGUUGGCAGGUAUAUGUGAGCAAUAGUGCAAAAUACAGUGAACUUGGCCAUCCCUUUGGUUACUUGAAAGCCAGUACAGCACUGAACUGUGUCAACUUAUUCGUGAUGCCUUACAAUUACCCAGUGCUCCUUCCCCUUUUAGAUGAUCUGUUUAAAGUCCAUAAAGCAAAACCAACAUUGAAAUGGAGACAGUCAUUUGAAAGUUAUUUGAAGACAAUGCCUCCCUACUAUCUUGGGCCUUUGAAGAAAGCUGUUAGAAUGAUGGGAGCACCUAACCUAAUAGCAGACAGUAUGGAAUAUGGACUUAGUUACAGUGUCAUUUCAUACCUCAAAAAACUGAGUCAGCAGGCCAAAAUAGAAUCUGAUCGAGUCAUCGGUUCUGUAGGCAAAAAAGUAGUACAGGAAACUGGAAUUAAAGUCCGAAGCAGAUCACAUGGUUUAUCAAUGGCAUAUAGGAAAGAUUUUCAACAGCUGCUCCAGGGAAUUUCAGAGGAUGUUCCUCACAGACUGCUGGACCUUAAUAUGAAAGAAUACACUGGGUUCCAAGUUGCUUUGCUCAAUAAGGAUUUGAAGCCACAGACGUUUAGAAAUGCAUAUGACAUACCAAGACGGAAUCUUUUGGAUCACUUAACAAGAAUGAGAUCUAAUCUUUUGAAGAGCACCCGCAGAUUUCUUAAAGGACAGGAUGAAGACCAAGUGCACAGUGUUCCUAUAGCACAAAUGGGGAAUUACCAGGAGUACCUCAAGCAAGUACCUUCUCCAUUAAGAGAACUUGAUCCUGAUCAGCCUCGGAGGUUGCAUACAUUUGGCAACCCCUUUAAGCUGGAUAAAAAGGGUAUGAUGAUAGAUGAGGCAGAUGAAUUUGUGGCUGGACCUCAAAAUAAACAUAAACGACCUGGAGAACCAAAUAUGCAAGGUGUCCCUAAGAGACGACGCUGCAUGUCUCCACUGCUGAGGGGCCGGCAGCAGAGCCCAGUUGUGAACAACCACAUCGGAGGGAAAGGCCCACCGGCACCUAUGACCCAAGCACAGCCAGACCUCAUUAAACCCCUUCCUCUUCAUAAAAUUUCUGAAGCCACUAAUGAUUCGACAAUGGAUGAUGUGGUUGAAAAUCAUGUUGCAGACCAACUUUCAUCAGAUACUACACCAAAUGCUAUGGAAGCUGAAUUUUCAGGAUCUUCUCCAGCCAACUUACUGGAACGACCAAGCAAUCAUACAGAGGCUCUCGGUCACGACCACUUAGGAACUAAUGACCUCACUGUUGGUGGAUUUUUAGAAAAUCACGAGGAGCCCAGAGAUAAAGAACAAUGUCCUGAAGAGAAUAUACCAGCAUCUUCACUCAACAAAGGAAAGAAAUUGAUGCAUUGCAGAAGCCAUGAAGAGGUCAACACUGAACUAAAAGCACAAAUAAUGAAAGAGAUCCGAAAGCCAGGAAGAAAAUAUGAAAGAAUCUUCACUUUACUGAAGCAUGUGCAAGGCAGUUUACAAACAAGACUAAUAUUUUUACAAAAUGUCAUUAAAGAAGCAUCAAGGUUUAAAAAAAGAAUGCUAAUAGAACAACUGGAGAACUUCUUGGAUGAAAUUCAUCGAAGAGCCAAUCAGAUCAACCAUAUUAAUAGCAAUUAAAAGAAAAGAGAAUGUGGCCACUUAUUUCACUACCUUCUCCAAAUACAAAGAGUGGCCCAAGAAGUGACAUUUACAUGUUUGCACAGACGUAGGCUUAGACCCAUAGCCUGGCAUGCCUCGGCAUCCUCAUCUCCUAUACAUUUUAUCUCUGAUAGAACACUGAGGCUUGAAGAGUUUAAGGAGCUUGCCCAAGAGGACGUCCUGAGUCUGCGACGGAGCCUGCCUGGACGAGGCUGACGGAGCCCAGAGCCUGUGCUCUCGGUGUCUACACCCUGCCACCUGCCAUCUGCCUCCUGGCUGGCAUCUCACACACAGUAGGGCCUGGACUUAUUUUUAACUCCUCAAAGGAAUCCUGCCAAGGCCUCUGGCUCAGCAAUGCAGAGAGCCUGGUCAGUGGAGGAGGCUGAGGUGGCCAGUGGGGAGGAGCAUGAAGAAUCCACACACUGCAAAUGAACCCUCGGAUAAUUUUUUUUGUUUAGCUGCUGGUCUCCAAAUUAAUUAUGCAUUUACUCUGAUUUCAAAUGAAGCUUAUCAUUUAGAGAUGCUCCUUGAGGAACCCUUUGUAAAGUAAUGAGUUUCGCAAAUAGGUUUUGCUUUGGAGAAGAAAAAUCCAGCACCAUCAUUUAACUUUUUGACCUCUUGGGGUUUUGUAUUUGUACCUAUUGGGUUUUCUUAAAGAAAGGCUCACCUCUCUUUAGAAAGAAUGAAACCUUCAGUGCAAGGAUGUAAAGCCUUCAACUUUUAUGCUUCAGUUUGCCUUCUGAUGGGAAUUAUAUCUGUAUUUGCUCAACUGCAUAA